GGCUGGGCGAGGCGGACACAUUUGAGGGUGAGGGCCUAAAUCCUUGGCCCGCCCCGCACAAAAGUGCGGGCAAAACGGGCAUGCCCACGGGCCGAACCCGUUUUGCCACCCCUAGGUGAGAGCAAUAGUGUGUGUGUAGUGUUUGAAUAUCGCUUGGGCUUCCAGCGAAAGCUUCUAACCAUUCCAACUGGGUUCAACAUGAGUAACCUGAACCUAUCCUCCUCUUCACACAGAAGCACGUCCCUCAUCUCCAAAACAGAACGGCGGAUCGAAACGACGGGAAGCUUAUUUACAAUACCAAGACCCACGGUUCGCGGCGCAAGAAACUCAGAAUCUAAAUCGCGCGUACCACUAUGAACAUCAAUAAAGAUCAAGAACUAGAUUUCUCGCUAAGGAUCAAGAACAACGAUUUCCGAAUUCGUGACGAAAAUUCAACAUCAGAACGUAACCGAGACCAAAUCGAAGCGGACUUCGUUCCGAAAUUGGAUUCCUUGUUCCAGUUCUCGCGCGCGAAAGAUGAGAAAAAAUAGAAGGAAGAAAAGCCUACCGGAGGAUUCCGACACAGUGGCUCCAGGGUUCAUUUGCUUGAGUUAGGCAGCAUGUGGGACUAAUUUUUGUAGCAAGUCUUCAUGGUGGCAUGAUGUUGCCUUAUUGCUUCCUUACUGCGGGAGCUCGGUCAAUGUGAAUGGCUAAGUUUCAAUACAAUUUUGACUUGUGGUUUUUCUACUGCAUUAUGUUUGGCCAUGUAUGCUAGGUUCUUUGCAGGAUGGUAUUGUGCUUAUGGUUGUUGAUUUGAUUGCAGUAGGAUAUGUUGGUUCUGACUUGGCUUGUGGUGAUGAAUGGCAAUGCUUGUGACAUUUGAAUUUGUUGCAUGACAUUUGAAUUUUCUGCACUUUAUCACAUGAUAUAGCCAUUAUAUGAACUGAUCUUGUUGUUUGCAUUUGAUCGCUUGAAUUAAUUAGGUUUCUUAGGAAUGAUUGUUAUGAUGCAUUGGGUUGUGAACUGUUGGUUUUGCAAUGACUGGUUUGUAGUGCUAGGUUGGUGCAAUGGUUUUAUGUGGUUUGUAUCAUGAUUGUUUAUGUGUUUUGACUUUAGCUUGUAAAAUCUUAUGCUUUUCAACUUCCUGCACCAGAACCUGCUUCAUAGUUCAGGGUAUUAGGAAGCAUAUCUGACUUGAUUUUCUUGUAUGUAGCAUAUGACACCCUUGUGCUAACUAAUUGAGAAAGAUCAUUCUUCUCCUUAUUUGAUAGUAGUUGCAGUGUCGCCGGUCUUAUGCUUGAUGGGGACAGAAUAUGUAACAAUGGAUAAAUUAAGUCUUCAACAAAAGAAGUAGUUGUAACAUGAUCAAAUAGGCGUAUAUGGGUGCUUAGGAGGAUGCGAUGAUGGGAUGCCAAUUUCCAAACUCUCUUCCUUUGAUUCAAACCAUAUAUUGUGAUAUUAUGUAAUAGAAUUAGAGAUUUUAUGUUUAUGAAUGGAUUGGAAAAUGUAUGCAUUUGGGAUUGAAUGGUUAAAUGAAAUGUAAUUUGGAAAUUUGAAAAUAGAAUGGAAUGGAUGUGUUAUGAAAAUGGAAGUAUUGAAAAUGGUUA